UGCUGGUUCGCUACCACCCUGAAUGCGCUUGAUCUCUUCUGAUCUCAGAAUCUAAGCAGAGUCGGGCCUGGUUAGUACUUGGGUGGGAGGAAACCAUUAUUUCAAGUUAUAAAAUACAAGUAUAUUAGAAG
ensembl:rRNA 5S_rRNA 5S ribosomal RNA